rnacentral:lncRNA from 1 species
UAAUUAUUUAUUCCAAAUCUAAUUUCUUUGUUGUGUGAUCCCAUAGGUUCAAUUAUGUCUGGUAAUGAGAUAUACAAUGAUCUCUAUCAUAGGAUUAUUGAAAUUCUUUUCAAUUGAUCGAAAUAAUUUCACUUUAAACUCAUCAAGAAUUGUCGAUCCUGAGCAAUCCUAGUGAGCUCUCACAAUCCAUCAGUGACAUUUAGCAAUAUAUAGUGGCAAUCCAGUAGAAUCAAAAAAGAACAUCAAGAUGUAGUUCAUAUGUGAUUCAGUCUCUCUAUCGUGAGUCCUAACUAGAUGGCAAGUUAUGGAUAAAUCGUCAAACUUCAUCAUCAGUCAUAUGAUAGAUUUGAUCAGCUCAAGUCUAAUUGUAAUCUUUAUAAAAAAUUUUUUUCAUCAAUCACACUAUUGUGGUC